rnacentral:rRNA from 1 species
AUUGAACGCUGGCGGAAUGCUUUACACAUGCAAGUCGAGCGGCCUCUCGGGGGCAACCCUGGUGGCGAGCGGCGAACGGGUGAGUAAUACAUCGGAACAUGCCCAGUCGUGGGGGAUAACACUUCGAAAGAAGUGCUAAUACCGCAUACGUCCUGAGGGAGAAAGCGGGGGAUCUUCGGACCUCGCGCGAUUGGAGUGGCCGAUGUCAGAUUAGCUAGUUGGUGGGGUAAAGGCCUACCAAGGAAACGAUCUGUAGAUGGACUGAGAGGAUGGUGAGUCACACUGGGACUGAGACACGGCCCAGACUCCUACGGGAGGAAGCAGUGGGGAAUUUUGGACAAUGGGGGCAACCCUGAUCCAGCCAUUCCGCGUGAGUGAAGAAGGCCUUCGGGUUGUAAAGCUCUUUCGGCAGGAACGAAACGGCGAGCUCUAACAUAGCUUGCUAAUGACGGUACCUGAAGAAGAAGCACCGGCUAACUACGUGCCAGCAGCCGCCGUAAGAC